AUUGCUUCAGUAGCGGCGAGUGAAGCGGCAAAAGUUCAAAUUUGAAAUCUGGCGUCUUUGGCGUCCGAGUUGUAAUUUGAAGAAGGUAUCUUUGGGCCCGGUUCUUGUUUAUGUUCCUUGGACCAGGACGUCCCAGAGGGUGAGAAUCCCGUGCGAUGAGAUGACCCGGGUCUGUGUAAAGUUCCUUGGACGAGUCGAGUUGUUUGGGAAUGCAGCUUUAAGUGGGUGGUAAAUUCCAUCUAAAGCUAAAUAUUGGCGAGAGACCGAUAGCGACCAAGUCCAGUGAUGGAAAGAUGAAAAGAACUUUGAAAAGAGAGUGAAAAAGUACGUGAAAUUGUUGAAAGGGAAGGGCUUGAGAUCAGACUUGGUAUUUUCCAUGCUGCUCUUUCGGGGGCGGCCGCUGCGGUUUACCGGGCCAGCAUCGGUUUGGAGCGGCAGGAUAAUGGCGGAGGAAUGUGGCACGGCUUUUGCUGUGUGUUAUAGCCUCUGACGAUACUGCCAGCCUAGACCGAGGACUGCGGUUUUUACCUAGGAUGUUGGCAUAAUGAUCUUAAGU
rnacentral:rRNA from 1 species